rnacentral:rRNA from 1 species
AUCCGGAUUAUUGGGCGUAAAGAGCUCGUAGGCGGUUUGUCGCGUCCGCCGUAAGUCCGGGGCUCAACUCCGGAUCUGCGGUGGGUACGGGCAGACUAGAGUGAUGUAGGGGAGACUGGAAUUCCUGGUGUAGCGGUGAAAUGCGCAGAUAUCAGGAGGAACACCGAUGGCGAAGGCAGGUCUCUGGGCAUUAACUGACGCUGAGGAGCGAAAGCAUGGGGAGCGAACAGGAUUAGAUACCCUGGUAGUCCAUGCCGUAAACGUUGGGCACUAGGUGUGGGGGACAUUCCACGUUUUCCGCGCCGUAGCUAACGCAUUAAGUGCCCCGCCUGGGGAGUACGGCCGCAAGGCUAAAACUCAAAGGAAUUGACGGGGGCCCGCACAAGCGGCGGAGCAUGCGGAUUAAUUCGAUGCAACGCGAAGAACCUUACCAAGGCUUGACAUGAACCGGAAAUACCUGGAAACAGGUGCCCCGCUUGCGGUCGGUUUACAGGUGGUGCAUGGUUGUCGUCAGCUCGUGUCGUGAGAUGUUGGGUUAAGUCCCGCAACGAGCGCAACCCUCGUUCUAUGUUGCCAGCGCGUKAUGGCGGGGACUCAUAGGAGACUGCCGGGGUCAACUCGGAGGAAGGUGGGGACGACGUCAAAUCAUCAUGCCCCUUAUGUCUUGGGCUUCACGCAUGCUACAAUGGCCGGUACAAAGGGUUGCGAUACUGUGAGGUGGAGCUAAUCCCAAAAAGCCGGUCUCAGUUCGGAUUGGGGUCUGCAACUCGACCCCAUGAAGUCGGAGUCGCUAGUAAUCGCAGAUCAGCAACGCUGCGGUGAAUACGUUCCCGGGCCUUGUACACACCGCCCGUCAAGUCACGAAAGUUGGUAACACCCGAAGCCGGUGGCCUAACCCCUUGUGGGAGGGAGCUGUCGA